rnacentral:rRNA from 1 species
GACGAACGCUGGCGGCGUGCUUAACACGUGCAAGUCGAGCGGUAAGGCCCUUUCGGGGGUACGACGAGCGGCGAACGGGUAGGAGUAACAACGUGGGUGACCCGCCCUCAGCUCUGGGAUAAGCCCGGGAAACUGGGUCUAAUACUGGAUAUGACUCCAUGACGCAUGUUGUGGGGUGGAAAGCCUUGUGCGGCUGAGGAUGGGCCCGCGGCCUAUCAGCUUGUUGGUGGGGUGANGGCCUACCAAGGCGACGACGGGUAGCCGGCCUGAGAGGGCGACCGGCCACACUGGGACUGAGACACGGCCCAGACUCCUACGGGAGGCAGCAGUGGGGAAUCUUGCGCAAUGGGCGAAAAGCCUGACGCAGCGACGCCGCGUGAGGGAUGACGGCU